rnacentral:rRNA from 1 species
GAUCAUGGCUCAGGAUGAACGCUAGCGACAGGCCUAACACAUGCAAGUCGAGGGGCAGCAUGGUCUUAGCUUGCUAAGGCCGAUGGCGACCGGCGCACGGGUGAGUAACACGUAUCCAACCUGCCGUCUACUCUUGGACAGCCUUCUGAAAGGAAGAUUAAUACAAGAUGGCAUCAUGAGUUCACAUGUUCACAUGAUUAAAGGUAUUCCGGUAGACGAUGGGGA